rnacentral:rRNA from 1 species
UACAGAGGUCCCAAGCGUUGUUCGGAUUCACUGGGCGUAAAGGGUGCGUAGGUGGUCAGGUAAGUCGGAUGUGAAAUCUCCGAGCUCAACUCGGAAACUGCAUUGGAAACUACCUGGCUCGAGGGUUGGAGGGGGGACUGGAAUGCUUGGUGUAGCAGUGAAAUGCGUAGAUAUCGGGAGGAACACCCGCGGUGUAGACGGCCUGCUGGACCACGACUGACGCUGAGGCACGAAAGCGUGGGGAGCAAACAGG